rnacentral:tRNA from 1 species
GCGUUCGUGGUGUAAUGGUAAGCAUGGAUGCCUUCCAAGCAUUCAACGGGGGUUCGAUUCCCCCCGAACGCA